AAGUCGUAACAAGGUUUCCGUAGGUGAACCUGCGGAAGGAUCAUUAAUGAUUUUUAAAGCAAACCAAGCUUUUUUUAAAAGUGUAAGGUUUUGCGAAUGUAUAUUUAAAACCCCACUCUUUUAAAAAUCAAUUUUUCAUUCAUUUAUAUUAUGAAUAAUAAAAAAAAAGAUCACUUUCAACAACGGAUCUCUUGGUUCUG
rnacentral:misc_RNA from 1 species